GGUGAGAUGGCCGAGCGGUCUAAGGCGCGAGACUAAGGCGAAGAAGUCAGAUCAGAUGAUCUGGGAAUCGAAGUAAUGGUAUCUCGUCCGAAAGGGCGUGGGUUCGAAUCCCACUCUCAUCA
rfam:Dacryopinax sp. DJM-731 SS1 chromosome Tnknown DACRYscaffold_1, whole genome shotgun sequence.